rnacentral:tRNA from 1 species
CGGGGUGUAGCUCAGCCUGGCUAGAGCGCUACGUUCGGGACGUAGAGGUCGUAGGUUCGAAUCCUAUCACCCCGAC